AAAAUUAAAGGUUAGAACGAGCAGCUUCCCAGAUUUUGAUUAUUUUACCUAUGAGCUUCCUAAGACACUCAAUACAUAACAACAGUAUUCAAAAUAGAUGUUAGAUACCAGACAAAUAAACAUAUAUAUAGGUAGCCAACUUUAUUAUCUAAAGGAAAGGAGGAAGAAAACUGGACCCGUUGAAUUGGGCCGAUAAUUGUUCAGUCCCAACAUAUUAAUGUGCACGAACAAUGGACUUGACAAGAGAUACGACGACCCAGAUAUGAAAAUAGGCCUGAGCUCCAGAUGGGCUCGGUAGGCCCAAGUUGGGUUCAUCCAUAGAAAGAGAUGAAAAUAAUUGACUAAAUCUCACUUUAUACCUAUUAAUUCCAAACUAUUUACCCUUUAAUGCUCAGGUUCAAACUAUUCAUUACUCCUACCUAUGCGGCCCAAACUAUUUACCCGCUAAUUCCAAUCGCUGCUAGUUACUACCAACAACAGAUCAAUUCCUAUGGACAUCGAUUGCAACAUUAAUUCUUGAAUGUAUGAAAAACUACUGUACUGUUUUGAUAAAGUUUUUAUAGUUUAUGCGACCAA
rnacentral:lncRNA from 1 species